AUUGAACGCUGGCGGAAUGCUUUACACAUGCAAGUCGAACGGCAGCACGGGGGCAACCCUGGUGGCGAGUGGCGAACGGGUGAGUAAUACAUCGGAACGUGCCCGGUCGUGGGGGAUAACGUAGCGAAAGUUACGCUAAUACCGCAUACGAUCUGAGGAUGAAAGCGGGGGACCUUCGGGCCUCGCGCGAUCGGAGCGGCCGAUGUCAGAUUAGGUAGUUGGUGGGGUAAAGGCCUACCAAGCCGACGAUCUGUAGCUGGUCUGAGAGGACGACCAGCAACACUGGGACUGAGACACGGCCCAGACUCCUACGGGAGGCAGCAGUGGGGAAUUUUGGACAAUGGGCGCAAGCCUGAUCCAGCCAUUCCGCGUGCAGGACGAAGGCCUUCGGGUUGUAAACUGCUUUUGUAUGGAACGAAAAGGCUCUGGCUAAUACCUGGGGCUCAUGACGGUACCGUAAGAAUAAGCACCGGCUAACUACGUG
rnacentral:rRNA from 1 species